rnacentral:rRNA from 1 species
AUUGAACGCUGGCGGCAGGCCUAACACAUGCAAGUCGAGCGGAUGAAGGGAGCUUGCUCCUGGAUUCAGCGGCGGACGGGUGAGUAAUGCCUAGGAAUCUGCCUGGUAGUGGGGGAUAACGUCCGGAAACGGGCGCUAAUACCGCAUACGUCCUGAGGGAGAAAGUGGGGGAUCUUCGGACCUCACGCUAUCAGAUGAGCCUAGGUCGGAUUAGCUAGUUGGUGGGGUAAAGGCCUACCAAGGCGACGAUCCGUAACUGGUCUGAGAGGAUGAUCAGUCACACUGGAACUGAGACACGGUCCAGACUCCUGCGGGAGGCAGCAGUGGGGAAUAUUGGACAAUGGGCGAAAGCCUGAUCCAGCCAUGCCGCGUGUGUGAAGAAGGUCUUCGGAUUGUAAAGCACUUUAAGUUGGGAGGAAGGGCAGUAAGUUAAUCCCUUGCUGUUUUGACGUUACCAACAGAAUAAGCACCGGCUAACUUCGUG